rnacentral:lncRNA from 1 species
CUUUAAGCUGGUAAACGAGAUGUUUGUGUUGGAGGCAAUAAUGCCAGCCUGUGGAGGGGACAGGCUUUACCAAAGAGCUAAUGAAAGAGCUAUUGUUCAGGCCCACCUGGCCUUGGCUCUGCUUUCUCCUCCAGAAGAAAUCUUGAUUGAAGCACCAGCAAGUAUGUUUCUUGCCUUUGUCAUUGUUUCCUGGGUAUGCAUCUCAUUUGGCAAUCUCACAGGAAGAAGACAGGAUUUCCUCUGUCUAGGCUGAAGUAUAGUGGUGCAAUUAUAGCUGAGUGCAUCCCUGGACUCCUGGCCUCAAGAGAUCCUCCCACUGGAGCCUCCCUCCUGAGUAGCUGGGACUACAGAUGUGUGCCACCACGCCCAGCAAGAUCCUUUAUGAUACAUAUACAAAACUGUCUCCUAGUAAUUUCCGUGUUUUAAAACUUUUUCUGAUAUCCUAAUUCAUAAAAUAGUGCCUCUUGUCUUUAGGAACUGUUCAAAUAUUUCAA